rnacentral:rRNA from 1 species
AUUGAACGCUGGCGGCAGGCCUAACACAUGCAAGUCGAGCGAGCGGCGGACGGGUGAGUAAUGUCUGGGAAACUGCCUGAUGGAGGGGGAUAACUACUGGAAACGGUAGCUAAUACCGCAUACCAUCAGAUGUGCCCAGCUGGGAGUCGCUAGGGGGUGGGGUAAUGGCUUACCUAGGCGACGAUCCCUAGCUGGUCUGAGAGGAUGACCGGCAACACUGGAACUGAGACACGGUCCAGACUCCUACGGGAGGCAGCAGUGGGGAAUAUUGCACAAUGGGCGCAAGCCUGAUGCAGCCAUGCCGCGUGUGUGAAGAAGGCCUUCGGGUUGUAAAGCACUGUCAGCGGGGAGGCGUUACCCGAAGAAGAAGCACCGGCUAACUCCGUGCCAGCAGCCGCGGUAAUAC